GGGCACUUGGUGUAGUUGGUUAUCACACUCGCUUAGCAUUGUCAAUUGCGAGAGGGUCCGGUUCGAUCCCGGAAGUGUCCA